UAAAUGCAUCGUCUGGAAUGUU
rnacentral:miRNA from 1 species